rnacentral:rRNA from 1 species
GAUGAACGCUAGCGGCAGGCCUAAUACAUGCAAGUCGUACGGCAACACAGUUGCGAGCAAUCGCAACCGGUGGCGAGUGGCGCACGGGUGAGUAACGCGUAUGUAACCUACCCUUCUCCGGGACAUAACUCCGCGAAAGCGGUGCUAAUAUCCCAUACCAACUCAUCAAGACAUCUUCUUGAGUUGAAAGCAGCAAUGCGGUGAAGGAUGGGCAUGCGUCCCAUUAGCUGGUUGGUGAGGUAAUGGCCCACCAAGGCUACGAUGGGUAGGGGUUCUGAGAGGAAAGCCCCCCACACUGGUACUGAGACACGGACCAGACUCCUACGGGAGGCAGCAGUAAGGAAUAUUGGGCAAUGGUCGAAAGACUGACCCAGCCAUGCCGCGUGCAGGAUGAAGGCCUUCGGGUUGUAAACCUCUGUCUGGGGGGACGAGUAAGGACGGUACCCCCGGAGGAAGCCCCGGCUAACUACGUG